AAAGCAGCAAAACACAGGAGAAGCAAAGGAGAUAAUGUUUUCCUUUUUCUCUGUGGCUUCUCAGCUUCCCAGGAGAAAAAUCCUGGGUAAAGGGAUUUUUUAGAAAAUAUGGAUGUGACAGGGCUCAAGCUGGCAUUUCUCCAUCUGUGGAGACUUGUACUUGCUCUGUGGCUGGUCACAUACCCCAGAUGAAUGAAAAGAUCCUCAGUAAUUGCUGCAACCAGCGGUUUUUAACUCUGCCUUCUUUCAGGAAGAUUUUCUUCCAUCUAACCCAGAGAACACAGUAAAUGGCAAAUACAACAACACAUUUUAGAGAUUUCUGAGAUUGUAUAAAAUAGCAAACAACUACUUGUACAGAAACCUAGCAUUUCAAAGCUAAA